rnacentral:rRNA from 1 species
UACGUAGGGGGCAAGCGUUGUCCGGAUUUAUUGGGCGUAAAGAGCGUGUAGGCGGCUUUACAGGUCCGUUGUGAAAACUCCAGGCUCAACCUGGAGAUGCCACCCGAUACUGCUAUGGCUUGAGUUCGGUAGGGGACCACGGAAUUCCUGGUGUAGCGGUGAAAUGCGCGGAUAUCAGGAGGAACACCGAUGGCGAAGGCAGGUCUCUGGGCAUUAACUGACGCUGAGGAGCGAAAGCAUGGGGAGCGAACAGG